GAUGAAAUUUUGCCUCUAUUGCCCUGCAUGAUAUAGGAAUGCAUUAAUUAAAAGAGCUAGGCAGAAGAAUACAUAUUUCAAACAGAUCUUUAAAGCAAACAACCAAUAACACUUGCAACAAAUACCAACAACCCAGGUGUACUUCCAAGAUUUACAAAUUAGGAAGUGACACUCAUGGGUCACGGCAGAGUUCUGAACAUUUUUUUUUAACAGCAUCCUGCUCUGUUUUAGUUACAUUACUUAGUAUGUACCAGUACAAAGCAGCCAAAGUGGAUGAUCAGUUAAUAAAGCAUCAAACAAUAUAUUUUCAAAUUAUAUAAUUACAAAGAGAAAAAGCACAGUUGGGGUACCUUUAUCACAUAAAGGUAGUAAAUAACAUCAAGACCACAAAGAAAACAAAAUUCACUUUCACAUAUGAUUUUUCUUUUAACUCCACAACAGCUGAAAAAAUCUGCAUAACAAGAGAAUGGCGCAAGACUUUCUAACAUACUAGAACAAUCAAGUUUUAAUGCUUUCACAUAAUCAAGAAGUGUAAACUUGCAAACAAUCUUGAAACUUUUUACAUCGACUACAUAAGGAAUAAAUGACAGAAUGUCUCACCGAGCAGGAUGAUUCUUCAUUUA
rnacentral:misc_RNA from 1 species